AUUGAACGCUGGCGGCAGGCUUAACACAUGCAAGUCGAGCGGGGGAAGGUAGCUUGCUACCGGACCUAGCGGCGGACGGGUGAGUAAUGCUUAGGAAUCUGCCUAUUAGUGGGGGACAACAUCUCGAAAGGGAUGCUAAUACCGCAUACGUCCUACGGGAGAAAGCAGGGGAUCUUCGGACCUUGCGCUAAUAGAUGAGCCUAAGUCGGAUUAGCUAGUUGGUGGGGUAAAGGCCUACCAAGGCGACGAUCUGUAGCGGGUCUGAGAGGAUGAUCCGCCACACUGGGACUGAGACACGGCCCAGACUCCUACGGGAGGCAGCAGUGGGGAAUAUUGGACAAUGGGGGGAACCCUGAUCCAGCCAUGCCGCGUGUGUGAAGAAGGCCUUAUGGUUGUAAAGCACUUUAAGCGAGGAGGAGGCUACUUUAGUUAAUACCUAGAGAUAGUGGACGUUACUCGCAGAAUAAGCACCGGCUAACUCUGUGCCAGCAGCCGCGGUAAUACAGAGGGUGCGAGCGUUAAUCGGAUUACUGGGCGUAAAGCGUGCGUAGG
rnacentral:rRNA from 1 species